CGGCUAAUUUUUUGUAUUUUUAGUGGAGACGGGGUUUCACCGUGGUCUCGAUCUCCUGACCUCGUGAUCCGCCCGCCUCGGCCUCCCAAAGUGCUAGGAUUACAAGCGUGAGCCACUGCGCCCGGCUAAGGCUGACUUUAUUGAUCUAGUAAAGCCCCUUAGGAAAAACUGGCUUGGUAGUCUGCAUACAUGGUUCCCUUACAUGGUUCCCCUAUAUGGUUGCCUUACAGGUAAGUAAGUAAUGCCACUUUUUGACAGGCCCAGGAAACUCAGGGUAUUUUGGGGACUUCAAGAAGAGUGGAAUCCGGCCAGGUGCACACACCUGUAAUCCUAGCACUUUGGGAGACCGAGGGCGGCAGAUCACCUGAGGUCAGGAGUUCGAGACCAGCCUGGCAAAUAUGGUGAAACCCCGUCUCUACUAAAAAUACAAAAAUUAGCCAGGCACGGUGGCAGGCGCCUGUAAUCCCAGCUACUGGGGAGGCUGAGGCAGGAGAAUUGCUCGAACCCGAGAGGCGGAGGUUGCAGUGAGCCGAGAUUGUGCCAUCGUGCCAUUGCACUUCAGCCUGGGCAACAAGAGCGAGACUCCGUCUCAAAAAAAAAAGAGAGGAAUUCACAAAAAUCUAUAGGUAUUAUAGGCAAAGUAUGAUGAGAAAUCAUUGGUUUGGCUUCCUAGACUUGAGUAGGGUUUUAAAAGUCCAAUUUGAGAUUCCUUAUGAAAAAUUCCAGCAAAGCAAACUUAAAUGAGCCUAUAUGGCAAUCACUGUUUUGCUGCACUUAUGCAAAUAAUCAGGUUAAGUUUAAUGAGAUUGGGCCUAUUUUGCAAACAAAUUCAUCUUAUUUUGAUCAUCUUUGGUAGAAACAGAGGUGACUGUAGGUUUAAAAAUUACAUUUCAGAAGAAAACUAAAGUGUAUCUAUUAUUGAAUUCUAGUCCUGUUCAUGUUUUUGAGGUUUUGUUUUGUUUUGUUGUUGUUGUUGUUUGAGACGGAGUUGUUUGAUCUGUCGCCCAGGCUGGAGUGCAGUGGCACGAUCUCGGCUCACUGCAAGCUCCACCUCCUGGGUUCACGCCAUUCUUCUGCCUCAGCCUCCCGAGUAGCUGGGACUACAGGCGCCCGCCACCAUGCUUGGCUAAUUUUUUGUGUUUUUUAGUAGAGACAGGGUUUCACCGUGUUAGCCAGGAUGGUCUUGAUCUCCUGACCUCGUGAUCCAGCCACCUCAGCCUCCCAAAGUGCUGGGAUUAUAGGUGUGAGCUACCGCGCCUGGCCCUGAGGUUUUGUUAUCUACCUAUAAUCUGGACUUGAUCUUAAAUUAUUCUAGUUUCCUCCAAUAUCUGGUUAUCACUCUCCAAACAAUUUCCAAUUUUUCUCCCACCUUGUGACUGAGAAUAACUAAAAAUUAAAACUGCCCUUUUCCCAAAGCCGUGCAAGCUAAAGCUGGACAACUUCAUAUAGACUUUAGAGAAAUCACAACAGCCAUAUAUGAACAAUUUUUGUACCUGUUGCUCUAUGUGCUACUCAGAAAGUUCCCCAAACACCUCAUGCAAACUGCAAACCAGGAAAAUCUGUCAGCUUGUCCUUCACUGCCUGUCCCCAUUCUACCAUCUCAAGAUGCUUUGAGCUCAAAUCUAGAAAUUUUUUUGACUGGCUGUCUUCCAGACUCAAAAACUGAGUUUAUGGGUUGCUCUAAUUGUUAAUGUUUGUUUUUCUAUUGUUUGUCUGGAAAUGCCUCUUGUUAAAUGCCUGAUUGAUUACACUACAUAGAGGCCUAACUUUGGCAGAAGCCCGACUGCAAUACCAGCUAACAACUGGAAUAAGAUACAACUGUUAACUAUUUAACUGGACUGAGUUAUUCCUGGAACUGAGAGAUGGUUCAAUGGGUUAUGCAAUAAUCUUCCAACUCAGUUUUUGUGAAGCCUCUUGGGAAAGUUUCAGACAGGAGAAUGAUGGGGUUCAGGAUACUGUACUCCAAAAUAUGGCAACUUGGCAUGUGAAAAAACAGCAGAGGCAGGAGAACCACUCUCACCUUUCCCUCUCCCUUCUUUCCUGAAGCAGGCCAUAAAACCUGGGAAGGUUGGCCAGGCGCAGUGGCUCAUGCCUGUAAUCCCAGCACUUUGGGAGGCUGAGGCUGGUGGAUCACCUGAGGUCAGGAGUUCAAGACCAGCUUGGACAACAUGGUGAAACCCCGUCUCUACUAAAAAUACAAAAAAAAAAUUAGCCGGGCAUGGAGGCGGGCACCUGUAAUCCCAGCUACUUGGGAGGCUGAGGCAGGAGAAUUACUUGAACCCAGGAGGCAGAGGUUGCAGUGAGCCGAGAUUGCACCACUGCACUCCACCCUAGGCGACAGAGUGCAACUCCAUCUCAAAAAAAAGAAAAGAAAAGAAACUGGGAAGGUCACUCUCUGACCUUCUCCCUCCUUUCUUUCCUGAAGUAAGUCAUGAAAUCCUCAUUCCAGAGAUAACCUCCCUAUACUGAAGAAAAGGGACUUCCUUGUUCUUGAAGACAGAAGAAUCUGAACAGGACUUGCUAAGUCCCCCACCCGCAGUUUAUUACCAUUAGAUCACACCCCUUUUGUCCUAUCACACUUCUGCAUGAGUGACCACUUCUACUCUUCCUCAAACCUAAGCCUAAAUAAAUACACAAGUUUUCCUGUUUUGGGGGGUCUUCAUUUCCUUAUGAAGGCUCCUGUGUCAUGUAAAUCUUAUACUAAAUACAUUUGCAUACCUUUCUCUUCUUAAUCUGUUUUUUAUUAUUGGAAUCUUGGCCAUGAACCUAGAAGUGGAUGAGAAAAGAAAUCUUUUCUCUCCAACACAACACUGACUUUUUUUUUCUUUGUUUCUCCAAGGAGUCAUUUCACAACUAUUUGAGGGCCUGGUUCAGUGCAGGAAAACAAACUACUCUAGGUAUUUUGAACUGAGGAGAACUUAGUGUAGAGAAUUAGUGCUUACACAAUCAUUGAAAAGAGUUGUGGAAUGGACUUCCUAAAACUGCAACAGGAGGGCGAAUAUGUUUGGCAUGAUUAGUAAGAUGGGGAAUCAAAAGGCCACUACUGUAACUGUUGAGUUAAAGAACACAUUGUCAGAGAUCUGCCAUCCAGGAAUUAGAAAGCAGAGAUCAGGAAGCUGAAUGGCUGUUGCAGGAAAACCCCAUGUCUCCAGGAUCCUGCUUGCCAACAGAAAGCCCAAAAUAGCAGAAAGAAGUCAUCUUCCUCCUUUCUGUCUUCCAGUCAUACAAGUGUGCCUAAUUGUAAGGGAGUCAUGGAAAUGUAUUCUAGCUCCCCAGUCCCUGUAACACAUUAGAAGAAAAUAAGAAUAGAGGAUGCAUGCCAAUUGACCAUAUUCAAUACAAACCCGCCCUUUAGGAGUCCACAGACUAGAGAGAUAACACCACAAUAAAUGCAGGUUGAAAGGAUGAGCCAGGAAGUAUCUCUUUCAGACCAAGUUUAAGUGGCAUGAGUCUGGGGCCUUUUUUUUUUUUUUUUUUUUUGAGAUGGAGUUUUGCUCUCGUUGCCCAGGCUGGAGUGCAAUGGCACGAUCUCAGCUCACUGCAACCUCUGCCUCCCGGGUUCAAGCAAUUCUCUUGCCUCAGCCUCUUGAGUAGCUGGGAUUACAGGCAUGCGCCACCACACCAGCCAAUUUUGUAUUUUUAGUAGAGACGGGGUUUCUCCAUGUUGGUCAGCCUCAUCUCGAACCUCCAACCUCAGGUGAUCUGCCGGCCUCGGCCUCCCAAAGUGCUGGGAUUACAGGCAUGAGCCACCGCAUCCGUCCCGUAGUAGUCUUAAAAUGAUUCCAGACCUAAUUUGAAGCCAUGGAGGUCAGACUCAGAAUCAUUAAAGGGACAAAGCUGAAGUCAGUGCACAGGGAAGAGAGGGGAACAGAAGACACCAUGACCCGAUGUCAAAAGCUUGGAGCUCUCACUUCCUGCAAGUGGCUGUACAGAAGGCCGCGAGUGCAGCCCCAAGUAAAUAGGGCCCACCUUCAGUGGCAGCGUCUCUCUCACACUGGCUGGUCAUGGUUUAUGUGGCCCUUUGUGGCUUACUUGUCACCUGCCUCAAGACCAUCAUCAUUCAGAAAUGAGCCUGCAUGAUCAUCACUGGGAGAAGAGAAAUACAGAGGGAAAAGAUUCAAAGUGGUCCCAUCUUCCAAGCAGGAGGGCCAGGGACCCACGAGUAUUUUGCUGUAGAAGGCCAAGGAUCAGUUGCCUUCCAGCUGCCUGUAUUUGCUUCCUCCUGCAAUUCCAGAUGUUUUGGCACCUCUCUUCUGUGACUCCAGGAAUCAGGAGCCAGGUCCUGGUGGUUCUAAGAUAAGGGAAUAGUGGCAGCUUCUAAGAUUGCAAAUAAAUCCCAAGUCCAUUAAAGGGCACCACUUUAUAUCUGUUGAGUGAGUAUGAGGUGGUCUGGUAUCUCCUCGGGGCUUAAAUUGAAGGCAGCCUAUCCUGCUGGUUAAAAGCUUGGCUUCAGAGUCCUGUCCUGGCUCAGUUGCUUCCCAGUUGUGUGAUGUUGGGCAAAUUACUUACUCUCAAAAUGGAAAUAGUAGGACAUUUUUCUCUCAAGAUGGUUGUGAGGAUUAAUUAAUUAGGUGUAACUAUAUAUAAAGUGCUUAGCCCAGUGCCUGGCAUAUAGUAAGCUUUCUAUAAAUGGUAGCUGAUAGGAUUUUUGUUAUUAUUAUCAAUACCAUAUGUUCUUGGCAACAAACAUCUCCCAUCUUAAUUACCAGAAAACAUCUGGAAUAGAAGGUUCCUCACACAAAGCUUGGUCUAGAACUAUGAGCUCUUAGUCACAUUCUGGAAAAGUGCAGAGCCAGACCAGGCCAGGAUGCCCGUCGAGCCUGUUUCCUCCAGCUGAGAAGUUUCGGUCUGCUUCAAUCCUAGUGCUGUCCCUGUGUAGUUCUACUGGGCAUCUUUUUUUUUUUUGAGACGGAGUCUCAUUGUGUCACCCAGGCUGGAGUGCAGUGGCAUGAUGUUGGCUCACUGCAACCUCCACCUCCUGGGUUCAAGUGAUUCGUGUGCCUCAGCCUCCCAAGUAGCUGGGACAACAGGUGCGUGCCACCAUGCCUGGCUAAUUUUUGUAUUUUUAGUAGAGGCGGUUUUGCCAUGUUGACCAGGCUGGUCUUGAACUCCUGACCUCAAGUGAUCCACCUGCCUCAGCCUCCCAAAGUGCUGGGAUUACAUGCUUGAGCCACCGCACCUGGCCUCUGCUGGGCAUCUUAACAUGCCCCAGGAGAGUUACAUGGUGUCACCCUGGCAGGUGAGAAAGGAAGAUACUGGUUAUUCAGAGGCCCAAGAUCAGAAGGAUUUGGAACCAUCUGUUCUGACAUUUUCUGUCUGUUUUCCUUCUUCUCUAAUGUCCUUUCCGCAAACCAUCCAACUUCAUUUUUAAAAAUUAAUUAUUAUUAUUAUUUUUUGAGAUGGAGUUUCGCUCUUAUUGCCCAGGCUGGAGUGCAAUGGUGUGAUCUCGGCUCACUGCAACCUAGGCCUCCCAGGUUCAAGUGAUUCUCCUGCCUCAGCCUCCCUAGUAGCUGGGAUUACAGGUAUGUGCCACCAUGCCCAGCUAAUUUUGUAUUUUUAGUAGAGACGGGGUUUCUCCAUGUUGGCCAGGCUGGUCUCAAACUCCUGACCUCACGUGAUCCACCCGCCUCAGCCUCCCAAAGUACUGGGAUUACAGGCGGGAGCCACCGUGCCCAGCCAUUUAAGUUUUAUUGAACAUCAAUUCUUUGCCAGGCAUUGUGCUAGCCCUGGGGGUAUAGUGAAGAACAGAGAGAAAGGCAACUCCUAACCAACUGGAGUUCUCUUUCUAUUGGGGCCACAAACCAUAUAAAUGUGAUCACAUAAAUAAUCAUUUAAUUACAGGUUUAAUCAGUGCACGGAAGGAAAAUGACAGAGAGUAAUGAGCAUGGAUAAUAGGGGAACUUACCAUCCCUCAAUAGUAAGGGGUUGAGGGUGAGCAGGGGAGUUUGGGUCAGACCUGAAGAAUGAGUAAGAGUCAGCUAGUCAAGGAGAAAGAAGUUUCUGGGUAGAAGUAGGCUCCUGCCAAAAUGUUGGAUGAAAACUUUAUGGUGUGUUGCCUUGACUGGAGGUCUUAAUUCUUAGCUGAGUACUCCCAAAAUGAUAAAUAUUUAAUGGUGGAAUCUUUGAGAGGCUUAUGACCAGCAGAUAGGAUCAGGAGGCUUUCUUAUUAGCCUUCAAACCAAUCCAUAUGGCUAGGAGGCCUGGCUCUGGGUAUGUAGUGUGUGUGUGUGAGCAUGGGCGUGUAGGAGUGUGACUGCAUGUUUGUGACUGUGAAUGUCAGUGCAAGUGUAUAUGGAUAGAUGCAGAGCUAUAACAGAUAAUUUUGGCAUCUGGGCCAAGCAACAGAAAUAUAUCUUGAAAGUCAGGCAUACAUCAGUUCAGGAGGGAGUUGGAGGGGAGCAGAGAGGAAAGACUGCUCUUCCACAUGCACACAGGAGCCUCCUACAAAUGGGUUCCCUGUUCAUGACCUUAGACAUUCCAGGUCAGCCAUCUCUGCCAAGAGUCAGGGGCAAGCUAGCCAGCACUUCUAGAGAAGGACUGGUGCUGAAGGUGGGGGGAGGAGAAGGCUUUAAAAUGUGCACAAUCUUUGAGAAAAUAAUUCUUUAAAAUGUUGGCACCCUCCACAUUUUUGUUCCUGGGCCCCUGGUGAGUGUGGCUUUAAGACUCUGAAUGUACAUAUGCAUAUAUGUGUGUAUGUGUGUGUUGACUGUGCUUAUGUGUGUAUGAAUAGGUGUUGGGGACUACCAUGUAAAUUGUGAUAACUAAGAGCCCCUGUGAGUUUGGAGCCAGCAGAUGUGUUCCUGAACUCCUCCCCUCCCGCUUUAUGUGCUCUGACACUCCCACUAUGCUUAUCUCUGUAGCUCUUAUGAGAAGCAGAGGCUGGGAUUAUCUGCCUGCCAGGGCUGAGUCCCUUCAUAUUAACAACAGACUGAAGAUGUACUGACUGCAACAAGACAAAUAGAAAUAAUAUGGUCACAUUCACUUCCAUUUCAUAAAGCAAGUGGAACCCGGGCUCACUGCAGUGAAUGAGCUUCAAUAAUUCAUCCCAGCUGCUGAUGUGAUAUUGACAUAAAGCUAAUUUAACAAUGGGGGAGCCAGAGGAAGUAGGGAGCAGUUAGCCUUCACUUACAGCAUGGUCACUCUGCUAGCACUCUGGUGCUAUUCUGGAAAGCAGAACCCCAGAGUAGAAAAAGACCUGGGGAGGUCACUUGCCCCCUUGCCUCCUUGCAGCCAGUUGACUUUAUGAAGUUGUUAGGAUGGUAUUUUCUUCUUGAUGAUACUCUUGACCUUUUGCGUCAGGAAUAGAGACUUCCCACCCCCGUCUUCAGAUCUGAACUUCUCAACAAAGAGAUGUUUCUCAGGUCAGUCAGACUCGGGUCAGUCUCUCCAGGGAAUCAAAACCACUGUCACUUUCUAUGGGGUAUGACAGUUGGAUAAACAAGGUUGAGGGUUUUUGUUUGUUUUGAGACAAGGUCUCCCUGUGUCACCCAGGCUGGAGUGCAGUGGCAUGAUCUCGUGUGACUGCAGCCUCCACCUCCCUGGCUCAGGUGAUCCUGCCACCUCAGCCUCCAGAGUAGCUGGGACUACAGGCCUGUGCCAUCACACCCCGCUAAUUGUUUCUAUUUUGUUUUGUUUUUCUAAAGGAGUUUCACCACAGUGCCCAGGCUGUCUCAGACUCCUGAGUUCAACCGAUCGCCUGCCUUGGCCUCCCAAAAUGCUGGGAUUACAGGCAUAAACCACCAUGCACAGCAAUGUUGAGGUUUUUGCUAGAGAAAAAGGGAACCUAUGGUUCAUAUCUUAAAUGAUAUUCAACAACCCAUUUGAUUUUUUUCUUUCUCAAAAAUAAAAGUCACUCAUUCAACAUCCAAAACAUGUUUGAGUUCCUAUCUUUCUUCAUUUAUUCAACAAAUACUUAGGCCAGGCACAGUGGCUCACACCUGUAAUCCCAGCACUUUGGAAGGCGGAGGUGGGCGGAUCACCUGAGGUCAGGAGUUCAAGACCAGCCUGGCCAACAUGGCAAAACCCCAUCUCAACUAAAAAAUACAAAAAUUAGCUGGGCAUGGUGGCAGGUGCCUAUAAUCUCAGCUGCUCAGGAGGCUGAAGCAAGGAGAAACGCUUGAACCCAGGAGGCAGAAGUUGCAGUAAGCCAAGAUGGUGCCACUGCACUCCAGCCUGAAUGACAAAGCGAGACUCCAUCUCAAAAAAAAAAAAACAAAACCAAAUGCUUAGUAAGCAUCUCCUGGUACUAGGUGAACCAGACAGCUUGGAUCCUUGCCUUCUGAAGUUUACAGUACAGCAGGAAAGAUAGGCAUUAAAUAAAUAAAUGCAUGAAUGAAUAUAUAAUUGCAAAUUGUUGCUAAGGCUGUUUAUUUAUAUUUAUUCAUUAAUUUAGACUUCAAUGCAAUGAGAGAGAAUAACAUUAAGGAAUAGCUUUGGAAUGGGAAGACCUCUCUGAACCCUGAAGGAUGAGAAGUCUGGAAAAGAGAGUGGGAAGAGUAGACCAGAAGGAGGAAAAGCCACAUAUUUAAUGUUUUGCUUCUUGCUGCAAGCAGAUUCCUUGGCUUUACCUUCAGAGCUUUUGACUCAAUGCAGAAAUGGAAAAGCCAAUCCUCAAAUUCAUAUGGAAUUGCAGGGGACCCCAAACAGCCAAAGCAAUCUUGAAAAAGAAGAACAAAGCUGGAAGACUUACACUUCCUGAUUUCAAAACGUAUUACAAAGCUACAGUAAUCAAAAUAGUGUGAUAGUAGCAUAAAGGAUAGAGAUAUAUAUCAAGGGAAUAGAAUUGAGAGUCCAAAAAUAUACUAAUACAGCUAUGGGGUCAAUUGAUUUUUGACAAGGGUGCCAAGAGCAUUCAAUGGGCAAAGAAUAGUGUCUUCAACAAAUAGUGCUGGGACAACUGGAUAUCCACAUAAAAAAAAGGAAGAAGAAGGAGGAGAAGAAGAAGGAAGAGGAGGAGGAAGAGGAGAAAGAA